UAGACAAAUGGCUCCAUGUGUUAUCUGUG
rnacentral:piRNA from 1 species